CCUGAGUGUACACUUACUAUUACAGUGACCGAUCAACUCAGUCUAUCAAGUAAAAUCAUUGCAUGCGUUCAAUCUAACAGUCAAAAUUCAAACAUCAUUUGAUGAACAGUCCGUUGAAUUAUGAAAUAGUAGAUACAUCGGACCAUGUCGAGAAUAACAAGAUCACAUUCCUUUAAACUAGACCGCAAUUCUGGAAAUGACAUUAUAAGAAUAGCAUUUCCUAAUUGGAAAAACAUAUAGUACCAGCCAAAAAAAAGAAAGAAUUAAGGGGUAUGCCAGACAGUCAUGAGACCAUUUGGAUCCAUGAAUUUACAAACAAAUAUUGAAUAACAUGAAUCUACAAUAAUGGUGAGAUUUGCUAGGCUAUACUUGCCGGAGGAAGUUUCAAAGUUUUUGCUGAUCAUUAGCACACAUAUAGGUUGUGAAAAUAGAAAAAACAUGACAGGAUUAUCUAGUGAAAAACAAUUGCAUUCUCAUACGUUAGUUUUGGUUGACACUGAAUGAAUUGCAUGUUACCAAGUUGUUAUACCAAUUCACUUAGUACUACAUUGCUAGGUGCACGUAAGCUGGCCCGGACAACACGGUUAUAAAAAAAAAAAGAUUGAUGUGGCGGUCAUUGUCACAGUUGGUGUACACGAAGAACCAGAGGCUUGCUUCCAACUCCGGCCAUGUAUACAAUAAUAUAUAUACAACAACAUACCCUGUGUUAUCUCACAAAUGAGAACUUAGAGGCUCAAGUAAAGUACAUCAAAGCAGUCUCCGGUAUAUUUACUCCAUAUUCCCACAUCGUCAAGUGAAUAAGACAAAAGACAAGCAAGGAGAUGCUAUAAAAAGGGCCAAGGACUCAUUCAUCCAUUGCGAGUACCGAUACUGUGGUAACUUCAGAUUGGAUGAAUGGGGAUAAGAAUGAGGAUCUGAGGUUGAAGAGCUUGACUUAGAGUUUGCAAUUACAAGUUCGAGCUUCAUGUUAUUACUAACCGUGCUUUGAGUUUCUUUAUUUCAUAUAGUUCCAAACAGAUUAAAACAAGUUUGCCAUUCUCUAUUUUUAUUAUUCAUUUCUUCUUAUAAUACGGGUAGAAAGAUUCACAAGGAAGAC